CACACAUCCGUUGAAUGUCCAACUGAAUCCAGCGAAAAUGGUUCUGUAACCAGGCUUUCAUUUGAGACAAUCUAUGACGUUAAAUGGCCUACGGACGCUCUCGAGAUUCAGAUGACGAAGGCGGGUUGGACUCGUGGCUGGAGAGGAUCAGGGAAAGUGACGCCCUGGUAGUGUACGAACAGGACGAUGAGUACGAGGUUUUCAAAACGGUGCUUCAGUACUUUGAUUCCCAUGGUCUGACGUACGCCUUACCGCAGAUUGAGUACCCGGGGGGAAAUGUGAUGCCAUCCACGAGCAAAGCCAUAGAGAAUGCCAAGAAAGUACUGCUUAUCCUCUCCCAGAAUAGUAACAACGCUAAAUUCUCGCUUGAAACUUUCCUUGCUUUGGAGAAAUGUGUCAAACACGAUCAGCUUUGUCUGACCAUUUUGACACUCCGUGGAUUCGAACGCACGAACAUUGCGCACAUUCCCAUGCUGCAGAACGCAACCAUUGUAGAGCUGGAUUAUAAUCGUCAAGAGAUUUGUUUGGAGGCUGUCGUUAAACAUAUAAAAGGUUAGGGGAGAAAGAGAUAGAUAUGUAUAUAUAUAUAUUCUAUUCAUUUUAAAUGUUGAUUGUCUUCAUUUUUAUAUGUAUAUCUUGACCUUUUUUUUUUACUUCCCAGAGCAGGAUGUUACGCUGAAGAGCGUGAUUCCAGCAGGAAAUUUCGCGACAGGCUUGGCUUGGAGCCACUUCACCGGCUAUCUAAAAAUAAUCCUUCCUGGUAUUGAUCCUCUUUAGAAUCUGUUUCCACAUUUUUCCUAAAAUGUGAAAUAACUAUAUACGUUUUAUAUUUAGCUUUUGUAUAUAUUGAAACAUAUCAUCAGACUUGAUAUAAUUGAUAAAUUUAUUCCUUUUAAAAUCAGUGACGUCGGAAGCAAAUUUAAAGUUGGGGGGGGGGGAGACAUAUCGGUAUAUUGACAAGCAAAAAAA
rnacentral:misc_RNA from 1 species